AAACAGUAAGUGUUGCCCACCAUCAAGCCCUUAGGCACAGCAGCCACCAGGACGGUGAGGCCUGGGGGCAGUUCAGGAUGGAGGAAAACAGGAUACUGGCCCUAGAUAGUUAAGAUGCAUAUCUAAGGAAUAAUUUCAAUGAGCCCAAACUCUUGCUUCUACUCAUACAUAGAAAAGCAACAAAGUCAUUAACUUGAAAUGUCUGUCUUUUGUGAUCGGCAAUAAUCUUCUGGGGUUUGACUACAUUUUUUUUUCUAGCAAAAACGCCAAUGUAUCCUGGCUCCUCCCUCUUCUUUGAAGCGAUUCCUCAGAGCCGUCUGAAAGCCUGUCUCCCAGACUAUAGUAUGCAGACAUGCCAAGUGCGCUUCACCGGACUGAGGCUGAUGCAACAAGGAGUUGCAGAGCUGUUUGGCCUUGGGAUUCAGUCGUUAAGAAGAGUUGCCAACUCUGCCUGACCAGCGGGAGUGAGUUUGUUCACUCUUCUCUGGCCUCCAGCACAGAAGGCGGGCUGUCUGCAGCCUCUGUGAAACUGAAGGUAGUUCUUCCCUCAGAGUUGGGAUGAGACCCUCACUUGCUGUUUGAUCACUUUCUGGAAUCUUAAGGUGACACAGACUAACAGGAAAACAAGUAAUGAAGAGAUACUAAGGAAUGCAGCUUAAUGAUGAGUUUUAUAGAUGAAUUAAUGAUUAUUGGUUGGCUUAUAGACUUUCCUGGUUGGCUAAAUGACAGAUGUGAUAAACUCUACAUUCUUGCAAGUUCUAGAAUAUUUUAUAUUUUUUGAGGUAAGUUCUUUCAAAUUGAGUGAUUCUUGUAUAUUUAAUUAUGUAUAUUUUUGAGGUCUUUGGGAUUUAUCAAAUACCAUGAAGAAUACAAUUAAUUGGUAAGAUUUAAUUACAGCCACGUGAGCUGGUAUUCUUAUAUACAAUGUACAAGGAAUGUUCUAUGCACAUGGAUAACAAGACAAAGCUCGAGAGUGUCUCUGAAGAGAAAUUAUUUAGGAAUUAAGGUGGAAUAUGAGGUUGCGUACCUCAGUGUAUUUCAAAGGAAUAUAUCUAUUCUGCCCCUGGAAGGAACGAUCUCUCUCUCUCUGUAUUUUCUUGUUCAUCUGAGCAGAAAGCUCCUGGAUUACAGAGCCUGCUUGUUCCUCCUCAGUAACUGUCACCGCCUCCUGCUGGUCUUUUAUUCAGCAGGCAAGGGGUUCAAAAGAGGCUUAAUAAAUCCUCAUUCCUCUCCUCCCCACCUCUCUCAAACUCUGCCAUCAUAUAAUUAAUGUUAAGUUGGUAUGUAUGCUCUCUUAAAUAGCUCAGAUCUAACAAACUGAAAUUUAAUUGGUUAAAUAUGAAUACUGCUUCCCCUUGUCCCCUACCCUAAGUACUACUGUCAAGUACCCAAGUACAAUACAGGAAAGGUAUAUUAAUAGUAACUAAUAAAAAAGGUUUUAUUUUUGA